rnacentral:lncRNA from 1 species
UGUAUUGCUUUUUUGCUAUUGUAGAUGGCAAUUUUGGUGUAUUUCCUUGUUGAAACCUGCCAAACAGUGAUUGUUGCUUCGGCUGUUUAUCUUGGACGUUGUACCCUCAACAAGAGAGCCCUUAUGAACCAAAAUACUGAGUACUCUCGGAGAAUCAACUAAGGUAAUAUAUUCUUUUGUAUGGAGUUUCAACUAACCUUAGAUAUAAUUACUAGAAUUUGGAGCGACUCAUUUUAGUAAAAUGAAAUUAUUAAAUGUGAUGAUAAUAAGAAUAUUGAUGAGGAUUUUUUUAUUUUUCAUGUUAGUAAAAUCUCAUUAUUGUUCUGUUCCUUGGGUGUGCAUCAUUUCUUUUAGUAAAUGCUGUCCUCUUACUUUGGAUUCUUGUAUGGGAAAUUGUUGACUUCUGAUUUCAUUUCAGUCUGAUACAUUAUAAGAAAGUAUUGGAUGUUUGUGUUGAUUACAGGUAGAAAGUCUUUUUUUGUUGACAAUUAUAAUAUUACCUUGCUUACAUCAAUUUUAUGGAGAAAUUGAGUUUUCCAUCAUUUUUUCUUGAAAUCUUGAAAGGUAUUAAUAGUUCGCACACCAUAAAUAGUCUCUUUUUAUAUAUGAAGUUUUCAGUUUUUAAGGUUCAACUUGAAUAAACAAAUUUUUUUAAAAGUCCCAAAUUGAUAUGUAUUGCUUUUCUGCUAUUGUAGAUGGCAAUUUUGGUGUAUUUCCUUGCUGAAACCUGCCAAACAGUGAUUGUUGCUUCGGCUGUUUAUCUUGCACGUUGUACCCUCAGCAAGAGAGCCCUUAUGAACCAAAAUACUGAGUACUCUCGGAGAAUCAACUAAGGUAAUAUAUUCUUAUGUAUGGAGUUUCAACUAACCUUAGAUAUAAUUACUAGAAUUUGGAGCGACUCAUUCUAGUAAAAUUAAAUUAUUAAAUGUGAUGAUAAUAAGAACAUAGUAAAAUCUCAUUAUUGUUCUGUUCCUUGGGUGUGCAUCAUUCCUUUUAGUAAAUGCUGUCCUCUUACUUUGGAUUCUUGUAUGGGAAAUUGUUAACUUCUGAUUUCAUUUCAGUCCGCUACUUUAUUAGAAAGUAUUGGAUGUUUGUGUUGAUUACAGGUCAAAAGUCUCUUUUUAUAUAUGAAGUUUUCAGUUUUUAAGGUUCAACUUGAAUAAACAAAUUUUUUUAAAAGUCCCAAAUUGAUAUGUAUUGCUUUUCUGCUAUUGUAGAUGGCAAUUUUGGUGUAUUUCCUUGCUGAAACCUGCCAAACAGUGAUUGUUGCUUCGGCUGUUUAUCUUGCACGUUGUACCCUCAGCAAGAGAGCCCUUAUGAACCAAAAUACUGAGUACUCUCGGAGAAUCAACUAAGGUAAUAUAUUCUUAUGUAUGGAGUUUCAACUAACCUUAGAUAUAAUUACUAGAAUUUGGAGCGACUCAUUCUAGUAAAAUUAAAUUAUUAAAUGUGAUGAUAAUAAGAACAUAGUAAAAUCUCAUUAUUGUUCUGUUCCUUGGGUGUGCAUCAUUCCUUUUAGUAAAUGCUGUCCUCUUACUUUGGAUUCUUGUAUGGGAAAUUGUUAACUUCUGAUUUCAUUUCAGUCCGCUACUUUAUUAGAAAGUAUUGGAUGUUUGUGUUGAUUACAGGUCAAAAGUCUCUUUUUAUAUAUGAAGUUUUCAGUUUUUAAGGUUCAACUUGAAUAAACAAAUUUUUUUAAAAGUCCCAAAUUGAUAUGUAUUGCUUUUCUGCUAUUGUAGAUGGCAAUUUUGGUGUAUUUCCUUGCUGAAACCUGCCAAACAGUGAUUGUUGCUUCGGCUGUUUAUCUUGCACGUUGUACCCUCAGCAAGAGAGCCCUUAUGAACCAAAAUACUGAGUACUCUCGGAGAAUCAACUAAGGUAAUAUAUUCUUAUGUAUGGAGUUUCAACUAACCUUAGAUAUAAUUACUAGAAUUUGGAGCGACUCAUUCUAGUAAAAUUAAAUUAUUAAAUGUGAUGAUAAUAAGAACAUAGUAAAAUCUCAUUAUUGUUCUGUUCCUUGGGUGUGCAUCAUUUCUUUUAGGUGUAUUUCCUUGCUGAAACCUGCCAAACAGUGAUUGUUGCUUCGGCUGUUUAUCUUGCACGUUGUACCCUCAACAAGAGAGCCCUUAUGAACCAAAAUACUGAGUACUCUCGUAGAAUCAACUAAGGUAAUAUAUUCUUAUGUAUGGAGUUUCAACUAACCUUAGAUAUAAUUACUAGAAUUUGGAGCGACUCAUUCUAGUAAAAUUAAAUUAUUAAAUGUGAUGAUAAUAAGAACAUUGAUGAGGAUUUAUUUAUUUUUUCCUGUUAGUAAAAUCUCAUUAUUGUUUUGUUCCUUGGGUGUGCAUCAUUUCUUUUAGUAAAUGCUGUCCUCUUACUUUGGAUUCUUGUAUGGGAAAUUGUUAACUUCUGAUUUCAUUUCAGUCCGAUACUUUAUUAGAAAGUAUUGGAUGUUUGUGUUGAUUACAGGUCAAAAGUCUCUUUUUAUAUAUUAUGAAGUUUUCAGUUUUUAAGGUUCAACUUGAAUUAACAAAUUUUUUUUAAAGUCCCAAAUUGAUAUGUAUUGCUUUUCUGCUAUUGUAGAUGGCUAUUUUGGUGUAUUUCCUUGCUGAAACCUGCCAAACAGUGAUUGUUGCUUCGGCUGUUUAUCUUGCACGAUGUACCCUCAACAAGAGAGCCCUUAUGAACCAAAAUACUGAGUACUCUCGGAGAAUCAACUAAGGUAAUAUAUUCUUUUGUAUGGAGUUUCAACUAACCUUGGACAUAAUUAGUAGAAUUUGGAGCGACUCAUUUUUGUAAAAUGAAAUUAUUAAAUGUGAUGAUAAUAAGAACAUUGAUGAGGAUUUAUUUAUUUUUCCUGUUAGUAAAAUCUCAUUAUUGUUCUGUUCCUUGGGUGUGCAUCAUUUCUUUUAGUAAAUGUUGUCCUCUUACUUUGGAUUCUUGUAUGGGAAAUUGUUGACCUCUGAUUUCAUUUCAGUCCGAUACUUUAUAAGAAAGUAUUGGAUGUUUGUGUUGAUUACAGGUAGAAAGUCUUUUUUUUGUUGACAUUUAUAAUAUUACCUAGCUUACAUCAAUUUAAUGGAGAAAUUGAGUUUUCCAUUAUUUUUUCUUGAAAUCUUUAAAGGUGUUAAUAGUUCGCACACCAUAAAUAAUCUCUUUAUAUAUAUGAAGUUUUUAGUUUUUAAGGUUCAACUUGAAUAAGCAAAUUUUUUUAAAAGUCCCAAAUUGAUAUGUAUUGCUUUUCUGCUAUUGUAGAUGGCAAUUUUGGUGUAUUUCCUUGCUGAAACUUGCCAAACAGUGAUUGUUUCUUCGGCUGUUUAUCUUGCACGUUGUACCCUCAACAAGAGAGCCCUUAUGAACUAAAAUACUGAGUACUCUCGGAGAAUCAACUAAGGUAAUAUAUUCUUUUGUAUGGAGUUUCAACUAAGCUCAGAUAUAAUUACUAGAAUUUGGAGCAACUCAUUUUAGUAAAAUGAAAUUAUUAAAUGUGAUGAUAAUAAGAACAUUGAUGAGGAUUUAUUUAUUUUUCCUGCUAGUAAAAUCUCAUUAUUGUUCUGUUCCUUGGGUGUGCAUCAUUUCUUUUAGUAAAUGCUGUCCUCUUACUUUGGAUUCUUGUAUGGGAAAUUGUUGACUUCUGAUUUCAUUUCAGUUUGAUACUUUAUAAGAAAGUAUUGGAUGUUUGUGUUGAUUAUAGGUAGAAAGUCUUUUUUUUUGUUGACAAUUAUAAUAUUGCCUUGCUUACAUCAAUUUAAUGGAGAAAUUGAGUUUUCCAUCAUUUUUUCUUGAAAUCUUGAAAGGUUUUAACAGUUCGCACACCAUAAAUAAUCUCUUUUUAUAUAUGAAGUUUUCAGUUUUUAAGGUUCAACUUGAAUAAACAAUUUUUUUUAAAAGUCCCAAAUUGAUAUGUAUUGCUUUUCUGCUAUUGUAGAUGGCAAUUUUGGUGUAUUUCCUUGCUGAAACCUGCCAAACAGUGAUUGUUGCUUCGGCUGUUUAUCUUGCACGUUGUACCCUCAACAAGAGAGCCCUUAUGAACCAAAAUACUGAGUACUCUCGGAGAAUCAACUAAGGUAAUAUAUUCUUUUGUAUGGAGUUUCAACUAACCUUAGAUAUAAUUACUAGAAUUUGGAGCGACUCAUUUUAGUAAAAUGAAAUUAUUAAAUGUGAUGAUAAUAAGAACAUUGAUGAGGAUUUAUUUAUUUUUCCUGCUAGUAAAAUCUCAUUAUUGUUCUGUUCCUUGGGUGUGCAUCAUUUCUUUUAGUAAAUGCUGUCCUCUUACUUUGGAUUCUUGUAUGGGAAAUUGUUGACUUCUGAUUUCAUUUCAGUCCGAUACUUUAUAAGAAGGUAUUGGAUGUUUGUGUUGAUUACAGGUAGAAAGUCUUUUUUUGUUGACAAUUAUAAUAUUACCUUGCUUACAUCAAUUUUAUGGAGAAAUUGAGGUUUCCAUCAUUUUUUCUUGAAAUCUUGAAAGGUUUUAACAGUUCGCAACACCAUAAAUAAUCUCUUUUUAUAUAUGAAGUUUUCAGUUUUUAAGGUUCAACUUGAAUAAACAAUUUUUUUUAAAAGUCCCAAAUUGAUAUGUAUUGCUUUUCUGCUAUUGUAGAUGGCAAUUUUGGUGUAUUUCCUUGCUGAAACCUGCCAAACAGUGAUUGUUGCUUCGGCUGUUUAUCUUGCACGUUGUACCCUCAACAAGAGAGCCCUUAUGAACCAAAAUACUGAGUACUCUCGGAGAAUCAACUAAGGUAAUAUAUUCUUUUGUAUGGAGUUUCAACUAACCUUAGAUAUAAUUACUAGAAUUUGGAGCGACUCAUUUUAGUAAAAUGAAAUUAUUAAAUGUGAUGAUAAUAAGAACAUUGAUGAGGAUUUAUUUAUUUUUCCUGCUAGUAAAAUCUCAUUAUUGUUCUGUUCCUUGGGUGUGCAUCAUUUCUUUUAGUAAAUGCUGUCCUCUUACUUUGGAUUCUUGUAUGGGAAAUUGUUGACUUCUGAUUUCAUUUCAGUUUGAUACUUUAUAAGAAAGUAUUGGAUGUUUGUGUUGAUUAUAGGUAGAAAGUUUUUUUUUUUGUUGACAAUUAUAAUAUUGCCUUGCUUACAUCAAUUUAAUGGAGAAAUUGAGUUUUCCAUCAUUUUUUCUUGAAAUCUUGAAAGGUUUUAACAGUUCGCACACCAUAAAUAAUCUCUUUUUAUAUAUGAAGUUUUCAGUUUUUAAGGUUCAACUUGAAUAAACAAUUUUUUUUAAAAGUCCCAAAUUGAUAUGUAUUGCUUUUCUGCUAUUGUAGAUGGCAAUUUUGGUGUAUUUCCUUGCUGAAACCUGCCAAACAGUGAUUGUUGCUUCGGCUGUUUAUCUUGCACGUUGUACCCUCAACAAGAGAGCCCUUAUGAACCAAAAUACUGAGUACUCUCGGAGAAUCAACUAAGGUAAUAUAUUCUUUUGUAUGGAGUUUCAACUAACCUUAGAUAUAAUUACUAGAAUUUGGAGCGACUCAUUUUAGUAAAAUGAAAUUAUUAAAUGUGAUGAUAAUAAGAACAUUGAUGAGGAUUUAUUUAUUUUUCCUGCUAGUAAAAUCUCAUUAUUGUUCUGUUCCUUGGGUGUGCAUCAUUUCUUUUAGUAAAUGCUGUCCUCUUACUUUGGAUUCUUGUAUGGGAAAUUGUUGACUUCUGAUUUCAUUUCAGUUUGAUACUUUAUAAGAAAGUAUUGGAUGUUUGUGUUGAUUAUAGGUAGAAAGUCUUUUUUUUUGUUGACAAUUAUAAUAUUGCCUUGCUUACAUCAAUUUAAUGGAGAAAUUGAGUUUUCCAUCAUUUUUUCUUGAAAUCUUGAAAGGUUUUAACAGUUCGCACACCAUAAAUAAUCUCUUUUUAUAUAUGAAGUUUUCAGUUUUUAAGGUUCAACUUGAAUAAACAAAUUUUUUUAAAAGUCCCAAAUUGAUAUGUAUUGCUUUUCUGCUAUUGUAGAUGGCAAUUUUGGUGUAUUUCCUUGCUGAAACCUGCCAAACAGUGAUUGUUGCUUCGGCUGUUUAUCUUGCACGUUGUACCCUCAACAAGAGAGCCCUUAUGAACCAAAAUACUGAGUACUCUCGGAGAAUCAACUAAGUUAAUAUAUUCUUUUGUAUGGAGUUUCAACUAACCAUAUAUAUAAUUACUAGAAUUUGGAGCGACUCAUUCUAGUAAAAUGAAAUUAUUAAAUGUGAUGAUAAUAAGAACAUUGAUGAGGAUUUAUUUAUUUUUUCCUGCUAGUAAAAUCUCAUUAUUGUUCUGUUCCUUGGGUGUGCAUCAUUUCUUUUAGUAAAUGCUGUCCUCUUACUUUGGAUUCUUGUAUGGCAAAUUGUUGACUUCUUAUUUCAUUUCAGUCUGAUACUUUAUAAGAAAGUAUUGGAUGUUUGUGUUGAUUACAGGUCAAAAGUUUUUUUUGUUGACAAUUAUAAUAUUAGCUUGCUUACAUCAAUUUUAUGGAGAAAUUGAGUUUUCCAUCAUUUUUUCUUGAAAUCUUGAAAGGUUUUAACAGUUCGCACACCAUAAAUAGUCUCUUUUUAUAUAUGAAAUUUUCAGUUUUUAAGGUUCAACUUGAAUAAACAAAUUUUUUUAAAAGUCCCAAAUUGAUAUGUAUUGCUUUUCUGCUAUUGUAGAUGGCAAUUUUGGUGUAUUUCCUUGCUGAAACCUGCCAAACAGUGAUUGUUGCUUCGGCUGUUUAUCUUGCACGUUGAACCCUCAACAAGAGAGCCCUUAUGAACCAAAAUACUGAGUACUCUCGGAGAAUCAACUAAGGUAAUAUAUUCUUUUUGUAUGGAGUUUCAACUAACCUUAGAUAUAAUUACUAGAAUUUGGAGCGACCCAUUUUAGUAAAAUGAAAUUAUUAAAUGUGAUGAUAAUAAGAACAUUGAUGAGGAUUUAUUUAUUUUUCCUGUUAGUAAAAUCUCAUUAUUGUUCUGUUUCUUGGGGGUGCAUCAUUUCUUUUAGGAAAUGUUGUCCUCUUACUUUGCAUUCUUGUAUGGGAAAUUGUUGACUUCUGAUUUCAUUUCAGUCCGAUACUUUAUAAGAAGGUAUUGGAUGUUUGUGUCGAUUACAGGUAGAAAGUCUUUUUUUGUUGACAAUUAUAAUAUUGCCUUGCUUACAUCAAUUUAAUGGAGAAAUUGAGUUUUCCAUCAUUUUUUCUUGAAAUCUUGAAAGGUUUUAACAGUUCGCAACACCAUAAAUAAUCUCUUUUUAUAUAUGAAGUUUUCAGUUUUUAAGGUUCAACUUGAAUAAAUUUUUUUUUUUAAAAGUCCCAAAUUGAUCUGUAUUGCUUUUCUGCUAUUGUAGAUGGCAAUUUUGGUGUAUUUCCUUGCUGAAACCUGCCAAACAGUGAUUGUUGGGAUGUUUAUCUUGCACGUUGUACCCUCAACAAGAGAGCCCUUAUGAACCAAAAUACUGAGUACUCUAGGAGAAUCAACUAAGGUAAUAUAUUCUUUUGUAUGGAGUUUCAACUAACCUUAGAUAUAAUUACUAGAAUUUGGAGCGACUCAUUUUAGUAAAAUGAAAUUAUUAAAUGUGAUGAUAAUAAGAACAUUGAUG